CACGAUAAGGGCAAACCCUGAGUGAUCAGGGGGCGCAAAGUAAUAGGGUCUUCUUCAUACAGGGAUGUAGUCUAAGAGAAGGCAAGAGUAUCCUUGUAGUAAGUCGUAAAAAGACAGCCUUACUGCCGAAG
rnacentral:ncRNA from 1 species